GUUUGACUGUGGAGUGUGGUGGUGUAGUGUAGUGUAGUGGACCCAAAGGAUACGAGAAGAAGGAUAUUUUCUCUCCUGUGAUGUGUUUUUGUGAUAUUAGCUGUAAGCUGUACAUGGAUCAGACUGAUUUUUCUACCAAGUAGAAGAGUAGGCUGUUUGAAAACGAAACCAAAAUGAAAAUUCCACACUUGAAGGUUUGGUGUAUAAUUCUGAGGACUCAAAGUAAGAUGGGCAAAGAGUCCAAGAGAAACUUGUUUUGGCGCCAAAUUAAAAGAUGUACAUUAUUGGAUUUGGGAAACUGCCAAAAAAUGAAAGUGUUUUUGCGGUAGAGCUAUAACCAAACUGAACAAUUUGUGGAUUGUGGAAAAAACUUUUCGAAAAAAAUGUGAUAUAUUUUCAAACUGUGAUGCUUCGUUUGUGAUGAAAGUUCUAAACUGCUAUAUGUACUUGCCUUUUGCUGAUAAUGUGAUAAAGUUAUGAGCUAAAUUCUAAAGCUUCAAGCAUUUAGAAAAUGUCUUGCCAAGCAGGAGAAUAAACUUCAGUAUAGCCUUUGGUGUAAGGAUAAAUCGAUGAAAGUGGCUGCCACAUUCCAAACUUGCACAUUGAUUUCCAUGAUGCCAUAUGAAAGAAGAAACAUAUCAAAUCAAAAUAACCUAAAAAAAAGUCUUAGGACUUAAAUAAAAGUCUUAAUGGACUUUAAAAAAAUGAUAAAAACCGAAUCAUU